rnacentral:rRNA from 1 species
UCAUUGUCGAUGCCUUGCAAACAAGCGUGACCAGCGAACGAGUUUCUACACUAUCGGGGCGGCCGGCAUUGCUGCGCAUGCUGGCCACCCUGACCACGGGGCGGGGAGGGCCUUGGCCUUCCCCCGCGCCGCAACAAACCCCGGCGCCGAACGCGCCAAGGAACACUAAACUGUUGAGCGUGCGCCCGUCGGCCCGGAAGCGGUGCCUGUUCGGGUUGCGUCGCGACACACGAGUCCAAAAUGACUGUCGGCAACGGAUAUCUCGGCUCUUGCAUCGAUGAAGAACGUAGCGAAAUGCGAUACUUGGUGUGAAUUGCAGAAUCCCGUGAACCAUCGAGUCUUUGAACGCAAGUUGCGCCCGAAGCCAUUAGGCCGAGGGCACGCCUGCCUGGGUGUCACCAAUCGUUUCCCCCAACCCCCGGCGCCCCAGGGCAACGGGGAGGGGCACAUGAUGGCCUCCCGUGAGCCUUGCCUCGCGGCUGGCUGAAAAUCGGGUUCGUGGCCGAGCGCAGCGUCGCGACACAUGGUGGUUGAGCGAAACCUCGAGGCCUUGCCGCGCGCCCGCCUCAGCCGUGUCCGGACCCCGUGACCCGUGAGUGCCAAAGCAUGCUCGUGUUGCGACCUCAGGUCAGGC